rnacentral:rRNA from 1 species
UACGUAGGGGGCAAGCGUUGUCCGGAAUCAUUGGGCGUAAAGCGCGCGUAGGCGGCGCGGUAAGUCGGGUGUGAAAUCUCGGAGCUUAACUCCGAAACUGCAUUCGAUACUGCCGUGCUUGAGGACUGGAGAGGAGACUGGAAUUUACGGUGUAGCGGUGAAAUGCGUAGAUAUCGUAAGGAAGACCAGUGGCGAAGGCGGGUCUCUGGACAGUUCCUGACGCUGAGGCACGAAGGCCAGGGGAGCAAACGGG